rnacentral:rRNA from 1 species
AGUUUGAUCCUGGCUCAGGAUGAACGCUGGCGGCGUGCCUAACACAUGCAAGUCGAACGGUGAUAUAACGAUGAUUUCGGUCUGAAAUAUAUCAUAGUGGCGGACGGGUGAGUAACGCGUGGAUAACCUGCCCCGUACUGGGGGAUAGCAGCUGGAAACGGCUGGUAAUACCGCAUAAGCGCACGAGGGGGCCUCCCCCUGUGUGAAAAGAUUCAUCGGUACGGGAUGGGUCCGCGUCUGAUUAGCCAGUUGGCGGGGUAACGGCCCACCAAAGCGACGAUCAGUAGCCGGCCUGAGAGGGUGAACGGCCACAUUGGGACUGAGACACGGCCCAGACUCCUACGGGAGGCAGCAGUGGGGAAUAUUGCACAAUGGGCGAAAGCCUGAUGCAGCGACGCCGCGUGAGUGAAGAAGUAUUUCGGUAUGUAAAGCUCUAUCAGCAGGGAAGAAAGGCCCAUUAAGGGAGAUGACGGUACCUGACUAAGAAGCCCCGGCUAACUACGUGCCAGCAGCCGC